UUGUAUAUUUCAUAUAUAUUUGUGUACAUCUGAUCUCAGAAGCUAAGCAGAGUUGGGCCUGGUUAGUAUUUGGAUGGGAGACCACCUAGGAAGACCAGGUGCUGUAGGUG
rnacentral:rRNA from 1 species